CCAGUAAUCCCUCUACUCUCGAUAAAAAUUGUUUUUCUCAAAUUAUCUUCUUCCACAUACGAAAAAAAUGUAACCGCACAUUCUCAUAGUUUCUACUCAACCUCACCUCUUUGCCUCUUCUCUGGAUACCAAAUUCAACAUGUGAGAACUCAAGUAUCAGUCAUACCUCUUCUUCCGCCAAACCGCAACACAUUGUUCUUCAUUCUAUACGAAUCUCAUUUUUUAAAUCAAUUUUCGGCGUCUGGGUUUUAAAUGCUUUAUUAUUCUAAAGUUCCAGGUUUUGUUAAGAUCCCAUCGUAAAAUUUCCUUUUUUUUUUCUUGAAUAAAAAAAUGACUUUUUUCUUCACUUUUAAACAGGUGGGAAAAGCGGUUGCUGAUUUUGUUGGGUGGUGCUUCACCCACUUGAUGUGUUGGCGUUGGCAUACUAUAUUCAUACACAUUAGGGAGAGAAAAGCCAAUAAAUGGCUUUGCAUUGAGCAAUUCAAGAAAACCCUCGAUCAAAGGCAUCUAAACCAUCUGGAACACAUGCAGUUGCAAUCUGACAUGUAACUCACAUGAUGAUGAUAGGUCAAGAUCGUUCCUGUAAUCAGGAAGGGACUAUAUAUAUUGCACGACCUUAGACGAAUUUGUUAAAGACUGAGGAAAAAUAUAUACGGGUGGGGAGAGCCAGUGGCUGCAGAAAUUCAAUAACUUUUGGAUCAUUCGGGUGGUUUAUAGAGUUGAAGUGAUUGAAAAUGAUUCUGCAUUUUAUAAAGCUGUCAAAGAUGAAAGCUAAAAAGUUAGUAACCGUUAAUAUACCUUCACACUUGCUCAGUUUGAAUUGAAGAAGCAAAUGAAGAAAUGUAAGUGUUAGUUAUGGCGAGGACCUGGUGUUUGGUUUUUAGUUUCUGUAUGUUCUUCCAAAUUAGUACUUGGUUGAAGAGAAAAAUUUAAGUAUUCCCUUCUUAGACACCACGUAAAUGUGCAUAUGACAGAAGAAGCAUCCUUUGUUUGAUAAGCAUGUUCAGUUGAGAAACCAGUACUUGUAAGUAUUUAUUUAGUUUCCUCUUCUCAGUUUUCAAAUCCACAUAUAUAUAGUUCACCAUGUAUCCUUUGGUUACCCAUCUGAGAUCAACAAGUUGUAGACUAUUUUAUUUUUUCAAUUAAUUAUUUCGUUAUAUUUAUUUAAAUUUUUUU